AACGAACGCUGGCGGCAGGCUUAACACAUGCAAGCCGAGCGCCCCGCAAGGGGAGCGGCAGACGGGUGAGUAACGCGUGGGAACGUACCCUUUGCUACGGAAUAGCUCCGGGAAACUGGAAUUAAUACCGUAUGUGCCCUACGGGGGAAAGAUUUAUCGGCAAAGGAUCGGCCCGCGUUGGAUUAGCUAGUUGGUGGGGUAAUGGCCUACCAAGGCGACGAUCCAUAGCUGGGCUGAGAGGAUGAUCAGCCACAUUGGGACUGAGACACGGCCCAAACUCCUACGGUAGGCAGCAGUGGGGAAUAUUGGACAAUGGGCGCAAGCCUGAUCCAGCCAUGCCGCGUGAGUGAUGAAGGCCUUAGGGUUGUAAAGCUCUUUCACCGGAGAAGAUGAUGACGGUAUCCGGGGAAGAAGCCCCGGCUAACUUCGUGCCAGCCGCCGCCGUAAGAC
rnacentral:rRNA from 1 species